UUAGUCAUUGCUCUGGGGAUGUGCUUUAUCAGGGUGGGUUGCAGUUACAGCACUCCCAUCCUAGGUAUUUUCUCCCUCAUUUUAUGAAGUUGGCGAGUCUGCGACCACCCAAAUCAGGGAAGCAGACUUGCGCAGUCCCCAGGCUUGUCUGAGAAUGGGGAGGAGUGUCUGAGGACUCAGUCAAGGUAUCAGCGGGCAGCGUCUCUUUGCCUUUGUCAUGCUAAUCCCAGGCAGAGGAGUUACGUCCAUUACCAGCGCUCAACAGUUUGAAUGGGACAGCACACAAAGGGUGCACUAUCUGUCUGGGUAAAUCCUAUUUCCUCCGCUUCAACCACCCUGAGGAGGCCAGGCGAAUGAAGAGCAUGUUGCCUGUCACCACCAUGGGCUACGGCUCUGACUGCGUGAAGAUGGAGCACGGUAAUGGCAGCUCGGUGGGCGGCGCCGUGAUGCGAGGUCCCCGGUCCAAGGCGGAGCUGCAGGACCUGAUGGAGGCUCUGCAGCGCCGGAAGAGCGCCCUGGAGGCCAGCCUGAGGGCCAGCGCCGAAUCUACGCGCGCCUACCUCAGCCUGCCCCCUCCCAGCCCCCUGUCCCCUGCGCCCCCCAGGACCUCUGAACGCCCGUCCUCCUCCAGGGGCCUCUCGUACGCGAGCGGCGGCGGUAGCGUGCCCCCCUCUCCUCGCCAGGGGGAGCGCCCCCUCAGCCCCGGGCCGCCGUAUUCGCGCGCGCGCCACCAGUCACAGGACAGCCUGCUCCUCUCCGGCUCCUCCUCCGCCGACAGUCGGCGCCUCCCCGCGGCCAGCUCUCUGCUGUCCAUGUGGAACGGUUCCUCUUCCUGCGGCGAGGCUGUGCCCCGCCCCCCCCGGGGUCACAGCGGGGCGGCCAGCAUGCCCUCCAGUCCGCGUCUAGGCCGCAGGCUCUACGCCCAGGGCCGCAACGGGGACGGCGGUAUAGACCCGGCCCCACGCCAGAGGAAGUACUCCACGGGCUCCCUCAACGGCCUCGGAUCCGCCCACAGCCUCUCCCUGCCCCGCCUCCACCGGUCCACGGACUCCCCAGCAUUGUCCCUGCCCCCGCGCCGCUCCGCUGGCUCCCAGAGGGGGGAGAAGGCCUCCUCGUCCCUGUUCUCCAAGCCCAGGCGCAGCCUGUCUUCCCUGGAGCGACCGCCGGACGUUACGGUGCCAGCCACGGCCAGCGUGCCGGGAACCCCCCGCCGGGCCAGUCUGGCCUCCCUGUCCUCACUGGGCUGUGAGCUGGAGAGAGGCGGCCUGAGGGGCUCCUCGCCCUGUCUGGACCUGGGCCUGGGGGAGAGGAGGCUGAGCUUCGGGAAGGGAGGGCUGGGGCCGGGGUCGAGGAGGGGUAGCAUCAGCUCCCUGAACGGGAAGGAGGAGCUCCGAGACUACCACAAGCACCAGCGAGAGGAGAGGCUCAGGGAACAGGAGGUGCAGAGACUGGAGCGCCAGCGUCUGGAAACCAUCCUGUCCCUAUGUACUGAACUGGGCCGGGUGGAGCGUGACCCGGGUGGCUCCGCCGUCUCCGACCUGCAGAAGAUCAACAAGGAGCUGGAGAAGCUGCAGGUGUCCGAUGAUGAGUCUGUGUUCUCCGAUUCCCCUGGAAGUGUCAGUGGCGCCGCCCCGGAUGGCGCCUUUGCCACCAAGGCCCGGGAGUACCAGCUUGCGGAGGAGCGGCAGGUCCGGCAGCAUCGUCACAGGGAGACCAGGGCCCAGUCCCCUGCUGCCAGCCUGCGCAGUAGUGUCUCCUCACCAUCGCCUCACCACAGAGCCAAGGUAGCACCUCACCACAGAGCCAAUCAGCUCGCUGUGGAGGACGUGCAUCUGAAACAGGAAGUGACCCGUAUUGAGGAGGAAAGGAUCCAGGUGCUGAACAACAUGGAGGAGCUGGAGCAGAAGAUCAAAGACCUGGACAACCAGAUGGAGGAGUCCAUCAGAGAGAUGGAGGUUGAGCGGGCUCUGUUGGAUGGGGAGCAGGACUCUGAGAUGGCCCUGCUACAGAGGGAGAAGGAGGUACUGGAACAACUCAAUGAGAAGAUUGGCGGCCUCGACAAGACAGUAGUCACUGACAAGUCAAAGGGCCUGCUGGAUGCUGAGCGGGCAAAGGUAGAGAGGCUGGAGGAGUUGGUGUCUGAGCGGAGGACCCAGCUGGACACCUGUCCCGAGGCACUCGCCGAGCAGCUCCAACAGCAGCUGGCCAGGGAUGUGGAGGCACUGGAGACUGAGAGGAAGCGUUUCGAGGAUCUGGAGUUCCAGCAGCUGGAGAGAGAGAGUGGUCAGGACGAGGAGAAGGAUGGUCAGACCCAGCGUCUGCUCAGAGAGAUAGCCGACUACCAGCGGAGCACGGUCACGCGCAAGGAGAGACUCCUAACCCUGAAGAAGCAGUCCACACAAAUCACCCAGCAGGCUCAGCGGGAAAAGGACAGCUUCCUGAAAGAGAAGAACAACCUGCUCCUGAUGCUUCAGAGGGAGAGGGAGAACUUGGCCGGUCUGGAGAGGAAGUAUUCCGAGCUGACUGGAGGACAGGCUUUUCCUAACAACCCUGUCACCAUGAAAGAGCACUUCCGCUCGCUGGAGGACAGGAGGCGGGGCAGUAAGGAGAACUCCUCCCUUCUCAGCGACACCUUGCCCCGUAAGAGGAACCAGCCACCCCUCAGCCACUACAACAGCUCCACGCUGGGCCGCGGCAGCCUGUCCCCUAAGGCCCACCUGCCCCUCUCCCAAAGUUCCAGCUGUGGCAGCGUCAUUCCCCGAGGCCUCUCCGUCUCUCCCAGAGACCUGGAAACCCGACGCCUGCUCAAGGCAGGCCACAGCCAGCUGUACAUGAGUGAGGACAGACAGCGACUAGUUGACCUGUGCAACAGGACCUUCUCAGAGUCCAACGUCUUCCUCGAGCCCUUCCACUACACAGAUAACGGCCAGGCCUUCGACACGCUCAGCGUGGACAGCUCGGACAGCAUGGAGACCAGCAUCUCGGCCUGCUCCCCAGACAAUAUCUCCAGCGCCAGCACAUCUAAUGUAGCAAAGAUUGAGGAGAUGGAGCGCUUGUUGCGAGAGGCCCAGGCGGAUAAACAGCGACUCCUUGAGCACAGGGAGCGUGAGAUGGAGGUGCGCAGGCAAGCCCUGGAGGAGGAGCGGAGGAGGAGGGAGGACUUGGAGAAGAGGCUGCAGGAGGAGACCAGCAGGAGGCAGAAAAUGAUCGAGAGAGAGGUGAAGCUCCGUGAGAAACAAAGAGCACAGGCCCGUCCACUGACACGCUACCUCCCACAGAGGAAGGACGACUUUGACCUCCACGGCCACAUCGAGGCUGCUGGACACAACCCAGACAACUGCUACCACCUGGCCAUCACAGAUAAAACCUGCAGAGGGUUCCUGGUCAAGAUGGGGGGCAAAAUCAAGACCUGGAAAAAACGCUGGUUUGUCUUCGACCGAAACCGCAGGACCCUGUCCUACUAUGCUGACAAACAUGAGGCCAAGAUGAAGGGGGUCAUAUACUUCCAAGCCAUAGAAGAGGUUUACUACGACCAUUUAAAGAACGCGCACAAGAGCCCCAACCAGUCUCUGACGUUCAGUGUGAAGACCCAUGACAGGGUGUAUUACAUGGUGGCUCCCUCACCUGAAGCUAUGAGGAUCUGGAUGGAUGUCAUAGUCACGGGGGCGGAGGGAUACAUGCAUUUCAUGGUUUAAACCCCCCCCCACACCCAACCAUGGUCGGGGAUUCUGACCACAACAAGCCCAGAUCCUAACUGCAGGACGAUACGCUGACUAGACAACAGGAAAUAUCCCCUCCUACAGUCCCUUAGGUGCCACAAAAGACAGCAACAUUGUGACUGGUCAGCUUUGGAAAUCUGUGAGCUGAACACAAUACCCUCCUGGUUUUACCGUGGUAACCACUUUAAUUUCUGUUUUCGGAGCCCGGCUCGUCUGCUCCGGGAUUCAGCUGAUGUGAUGGCAAUCUAAUACAGCCACACAGGGAGGACUUCCUCUGGAUGUUCUCAAAAGAUGCUGAUAUGGAUUUUAGUAGCUUUUAGUCUGGAGGAGAAUCUUGGCACAGGGUUUACCCACAUGCUAUUUUGGGACUACUAAUGGCACAGAAUUUCUAUCAGUGGUGUAUUGUGGACUCUUAUUGGCUCUGAGAUUUUACUGCCCAUUCAGGAUAAGCCACUCCAUUUUAGGCAGUGAGGUUGCACACCGAAUCUCACUACAGUAUAUAUUUUCUAUUAGUGUAACUGAAAAUUUUAAAUCUGUGAGUGUAAUCAUAGGAUUGAGACUGUCAUUGGAAUUAUACUGUGGUACUAACGCCCUUCUCUGGAUAAAGACCGGAUUGAUUAAAGAAACUCAAGCUGCCCCGUUCUUUUCAUCAUCCCAAAUUGAACUGGCUGUUGAUUGGUCCACCCAAGCUCCCCAUCUGUUUCCCUUCCAGCUGGACAGUCUCAGUGUUGCUUUAGUAUGUUCCGUCUCUCUGGUGCCAAACCUUCUAGACACUUGUCUGGUACUUGCUCGGACUGACAGGACAGUACUGCCCCCUGUUGGAAGAGCCAAGGCACUGCACGUGGCUGGUACUUUGUCUUAAAUGUCUCACUGAGGCUCAGGAACUGAAUGCCAGAUAACCCUCAAACACCGGAGACUGGAAGGGUGUGUAUCUCACUCAGCAUGUACCAAAUAUACACACCUUUGUAAAAAAGAAAAAUGCACCUUAAGUCUCCAUAAAAGGGCACUUCCUGGUUGAAGGCGUUGACAAUCAGUGUCUACCUUAUAUGUCUGCCGUCCAGCUAAAUACGUUGGCAGAGCAUUACAGGGCACUUAGAGUAACUGGUUUAAAUUAAAUAUAGUAUUAGUGGAAUAUGGCACUGUAUAAUUUGCCUUUAUGUAAGUAGCGUCUUAUGAGGCUGUGUAAUAUCGGGGUGCUUGAGGGCACAGCUCCUCAAUCAAUGGGCUCAUUAAUAUGUGAAUGCUUUUAAAGGCCUCACAGUGAUUGUGUUGAAUGACCCUGAUAUAUUGUCACCAGCAGAUGUCCUUAGAACAGUGAAGCUUGUUGUUAUCUGCUACAGAGUCACUGUAAGACCUGUGCAGGACCACGAUUCUGCUACUAAAACGACCUUUUCAGGGUAACAAAUAAUGGAACAUUAAUUUAUAUUGGUUUCAUUUGUAAACUGUUUCUUGUGUUUAACAAAUGUAUGAAUACGUGGAGGUACUGUAUCUGCAUGCUGAACAUAUAAUGGUGCCAUCUGUGGUAAACCAAAGAGUAAUGUAAUAUUCAGUGUUAUGGGGAAGUGUUAUGGAGUCAAAAAAUGAAAAAAGGUACCUAUCUGACCAGUUAUUUUAGAUAACUUUCAAUGGGAUUAAAAUAUUCAUGAAAGUUUGGAGAUAGCUCCUUCACUUACCAUGAGCUCACAGCUAGUGGACUGUCAAAAAGAUGAACAGGGGUGCAUACAAGAUAUAGGAAGUUCCCUGACAGCCACUGGUAGUCGUUCUUAGCCAGGACCCUCCAGAACCCUUUCAUCACGGUUGGUUCCCCAUCAGAGACAGUAAAGUAACUGAGACUGCAACCUCGAUGACACAGACCCAUUCAUUUUUUUCAAAAGAAAUAUACCUGUGAAAUGUCUCUAUUCUGCGUGUUGUCCAAACUGGAUAUGCAAAUAAUUUGUUUCUGUCUUACAGUGGGCUGUAUGGGUCUUGUACUGUCUCAGGCUCCUAUGUCUUCAUCACCAUUUUCAGACCGGAUAGGACCCAUUCUACAGAGACUAGUUCGGUAUGCUAGUGUGCAAAACAUUGCUGAAAAAUGAACGAAAACCUGUAUUAAAACCCAGGUGUGAUUUACAGGAUAUUCAAAAUCAAAAUACUCUGUUAGUGGUUUGAUGUGUUGUGAGGCAUUAUCAGAGACGGUACACAACAGACACCUGAAAGUGACAUGACCCCUAACUUGGGUUCACCCCGUCUGAACUGCAGAGGCGGUAUGCCGACCAGGGGGAUUAAAAAAAGCUUUCGGUCUGUGUUUUUGUCUGUUGUCUCGCAUUCUCUCUCUGGCAUCACAGUUUUACCAGCGGGUUCUCUAUUAAGCUAGUUUAAUAACCCAAACUUUUAGGUUACCUGUUUUAGACAACGCUUUCUCACAGGGAAUAUUUCACAAGCCAUCUCUGACCAGUUGUCAUCUGAGCGAUGAUCCAGUUAUUCUCAACCUUUGUGACAGUACACAAUAUUGGUUCACUUCAGGUAUUUACCAUGUGUCUCCCAAGGAAACGAUCAGACUCACACUUUUAUGAGUUUUUAAUAUACAUUUGGUAUUUUUAUAUGAACAAUGGUAUUUCAAAUGUUACUGUUAAUCCUGCAUGUUUUUUAUACAAAUGUAAGAAUAAAUAAUAUACUGUACGUUUA